UCUUCCCUGCAACUCUCCCUCAUCGCUCCUUCAGACUAGCGCCAGCAGCAAUUAGCACCUGGUGGAACUGUGCAUCCGCUGAGUUCAUCAUAUGAAGUACUUCUCUGUGCAAUUCAGAUUAUCCCAACUGAGUUGUGCAUCUACAUAGCAGAGAUCUACGCCUCAUGAAAUGUGGUGCUCAUCACAUUCAUCAACAUUCAAAAAGAAAUGUGAGCUAGAUUCCAGAAAAUUGACUUUGAGAUACAAGACAGAAAAAAAGUGCAGCCUACUUAUCAGCUUGAGGUGCGGUUACAAGAGACCCAACAUUGGGUUUGUGCAGCACGUCCGCCCACAGCUGCUGGGGGCCCUGCAGGGUCCUUGUGAGUUGGGGUCUGCUGGUCAAUGAGUGCUGCUCUUCAGCUCGACGCCCUCUGCUGAAUACUAACCUGGAGCUCACCUCUGAAAGAGCCAGGCACGGAUAGACUGUAGGUUCAACAUCUCCUCUUCUCAUUCGUAAGCGCCUUCAGAAUUCACUGUUUCACUCUGUGCAUCCCUAACACACCUCCUUUCACUAUUCACCUCUCUUUGUAUGCCUCAAUGCAUACGUAAAGCACAGGACCAGGGUAGCACAACUGCCCAGGGCAAAGACCUAAAAAUAUAAGCAUCAGCAUUCCCUUACAUGAGGCUACACACACACAUGUGUGCUUGCUGUUCCAUGCAGAAAUUCCUUGAACUCCUCCUCAGUGUUUCCUGGAGCUCUUUGAGAUGUUCAAUUUUCUAAAUAAAUCUCUGUCUGCAGUCCCACUGAGUUCCAGCGGCCUUCCAUCUGAGGUACAAAUCUGACACUAAAUUGCUCUUGGUAUUUGGACACGUCAGUCUUAUUUAUUUAAGUUAAUUCAUGUAGCUUGGAAUGUAAAAUUUGAUUGUUUUGCAAAUUAAAUGUUCAUUCAUCAUCA